CACUAUGCUUAGCCCUAAACUAAAAUAGCUUACCACAACAAAGCUAUUCGCCAGAGUACUACUAGCAACAGCCUAAAACUCAAAGGACUUGGCGGUGCUUUACAUCCCUCUAGAGGAGCCUGUUCCAUAAUCGAUAAACCCCGAUAAACCCCACCAUCCCUUGCUAAUUCAGCCUAUAUACCGCCAUCUUCAGCAAACCCUAAACAAGGUACCGAAGUAAGCACAAAUAUCCAACAUAAAAACGUUAGGUCAAGGUGUAGCCCAUGGGAUGGAGAGAAAUGGGCUACAUUUUCUACCCUAAGAACAAGAACUUUAACCCGGACGAAAGUCUCCAUGAAACUGGAGACUAAAGGAGGAUUUAGCAGUAAAUUAAGAAUAGAGAGCUUAAUUGAAUCAGGCCAUGAAGCGCGC
rnacentral:rRNA from 1 species